rnacentral:pre_miRNA from 1 species
UGGAAGACUGUCGAUUUCGUUGUCAGAGCAUUUUUAAAUGUAACAACGAUUUUGAUAAUCUUCCUGG